GGCACAUAUUGCUGUGGGAGCUGUCAUCAUGUGCAUGUGUUGUGCCCCAGGUGCAGCUCACUUGGGACUUACCAACCUGGUGAAAAACAGGAGGCAUCCCUGCUAAUGAAAGCAACUUUCAGAAAGUUCAGGCAUUCUUCUUUCUGUAUAUGAUAUGUAGGGCAGUUGCAAGUAAGAGCAGUGGUUGUCAAUGCCUGUGAAACCCAAAAGUGAGACUUCCCAUCAGCCUGCAAAGGAAACUUCUUGAUGUGUGUUCUAAACUUCAGUGUGUUCUAAAGGGCUUUAUAAAGCAGGAUUAAUAACAUAGCCUCCACUUCCCAGCUAGAAAUAUUAACUAGAGAGAAAAAAGAUUCUUCCAAGCUUGCUUGGCAGUAGAGGUAGCGAGAGCAUCGCAUCUAAGAAGUCAAGGCUGAGCACACCUGGUGCUCUCAAGGCAGUACAACCUGAGGAGUAAAAGGAGCGUGGAGCUUUAGUGCUUGUUUGCCAUGCUGAGGAAGAACCCCACCCUGCUUCGCUCAUUACUGCAACUUAAUACCUCUCUGAAGGUACCUGCUGCUUUUCUGCAUUCCUAUGCUCAGGCCAGCAGAGCAACAGGAGAUUUGGGUCACACAGGUCCUUUUGUUUAUCCACUUCCUUUGGCCAACACUACUGGUUGCAACCCUGUGCACCAGGGAGGGAGCUCCCAGGAGCCUCAAAUUGGAAUGAGAGAUGAACCAAACCAGGU